UGACCUUCAAUCUUCAUACUAAGCGAACGGUAUAAAAACGCACAGUCUUCAUUCAAGAUGUGUAGCAGCAGUGUCCUACCGACGGAAAGAACGAUGAAAUAUUUGGUGCUUCUAAUGCUCUCUGCAGCUGUUCUUCAAACACAGGGCACAGCUGAGUAUGAUGACGACUCUGGCGAGAAUAGCACCCCUACAGAGGCAAGCAACAGCACCGUGUCUACAGCGGCCCCGAAGCUUCUUCAGGCUGGCUCAAACGGGACCGGUAACUUUGAAACUAUCGAGUAUUAGUGAUCUACAGGGAAGGAAGACAUCCGUUUUCAUUAUAUCUUAGUGAAUCGAAGUGAAAUAAGACAUACGUAGACUGUAUGCAAUAAAAGUGCACCUUUAUAUAUUAUACAAUUAGAAAAACACGUAUUAUGCAUUUCCCUCAAACCUUUCUAGAAGGUCUUCCGCCAGUUACACGUCCUGCUGUUGUAAAUUUUCUUCCUGCAGAAGUUUUCCGCGACUUGUUCACUAGGUAAUGGGCACCGUACAGUCGAGUUUUCCAGUGUGACUGCAGCGCCAGAAAGCAAAACCCAGCGGAUAAAUAGCGCAAUAAUGAGACGGGGUCGCUCAAAAUGGAACGCGAUGUGCGCGUCUCCCUCCCUGCAUGAAUGGGCGUAAUGUGGCCGGGCUACAAGGGGGACGCGUGCGCGCGUCUGUUUUCUGCUUGCCCCUAACGGCUAAUGUCAGCGAACUUGAGACGGAGCAGUGCGAGCAACGCUGCGCUCUCUGGUCAGUGGACGGUGCCUCAUUCAGAGCGUGUUUGGUCAGCAGGGCCAUAAUUUAAAAGAAAUGAAGGCAAAUGUUAUCCGCUCUUCGUACAUAUUGAGAGCAGCUGUUCAAAAUAGAGAAUAUAAUGAAACGCUCCAAAACAGUACAUUGUCUCGUCAAACUAGAUGAUUAGAUGAUGCUGCAAAGGAGCUUCUUGAAAACGCAACAGAAGUUGCAGGGCUUGUAACUGAGGUGACAAUCAGCGGAUGCGGCGCAACGUUUUGUGCUUUACAGUCAUUUAAGUCGGAACUUCGCUCGAGGUGCAUACGCGGCUUCAGAACAUUUGCAGGCACAGGUUAUUCACUAUUUGGGUUUAAUUAGUGCUCCCCCCCCCCCCCCCCCCCAGUGCAGUAAUUCUAGAUCUCAGUGAAGAGAGCACCAAAGGGCAGGUACAGUUGCUCUGGUGGAAGUAUAGUAUAAUGUAGCACAAUGUAGUCUUUUAAAUAUGUGUGGAACGCAUAUCACUCAAAAUUCUAUUCAACCGUUUCACUUAGCAUAUUCCAAGUGAAAUCUGCAAUUCAAAUCGUAACAGAUUUCACUGCGAAGUAAAUAAUUUUUCACGAUAGUGUUAUAUGCUUGCUAGCACAGCAAGAAUCGUGGUAUUGCGACUGACUUGACACCUUGAAUAUACCUGUCACAGCACGGAAAUAAUCAUUGUCAUUCAAACGUCAGAAAAAAAUACUGACACAUGUACGUAUAUGCGUUCUCUUCGGGGGAUCAAUUUUCACCGUCCAACAAAUGUUACGACGUUUCCGCUCAGCAAAUGACGUGGCUUAAUGUGAUGGAAACUCCUCGAAUAUUCUCAAACAUUCGCAGGGUCGCUUAGGCAUUCGCCUAAGAUGACUCGAAGGCGUAAGCUACCUUCUUAUUUUUCUUCUCAGUCAAUGUGUUGAUCCUGCCUGGCCUCUUACAAAAGCUUUCUGCACCUGGCGUGGUUUUCACUGUCACCAGAAGGGGAGGCAUGACAAGCUCUUCGCACCUCCCCUGGUUUUUUACUGCCUCCGUGAUCGGCCCACCUUUGACAAAGCGACAAGGUCAUGUGAUGUCGUCCUUCAGCAUAGUAACGGCCAGCUAUUUAUACACAAGUUACCGAUGGCGGUGCGCAGACCUUGAAGGUGCUUCAGCGUAUUCUUAUCUUCCGUGAGAAUGCGUGAAGGGCGCGCUUUAAAGGACCCCUUAACUACCUCUGAUAACUUUUAAAUGCGAAGCAUUUCUUAGCGAACUUCCGCGACUUUGAGCGUAUCUAUCUAUCUAUCUAUCUAUCUAUCUAUCUAUCUAUCUAUCUAUCUAUCUAUCUAUCUAUCUAUCUAUCUAUCUAUCUAUCUAUCUAUCUAUCUAUCUAUCUAUCUAUCUAUCUAUCUAUCUAUCUAUCUAUCUAUCUAGCCGCCUACGACUUUGUGCUCUCCUAGCCGUUUCGUUAUUUGGAUUUAAGCCAAAAUUGGUAUGGCGAAACAUGACCUUAUGACGAACAUAAAUGACAGGUCAUAACGUGAAAAUCAUGAUAUCCAUGUCAUGGACGACAUGAUUUACAUGCCACUGUUCUGGUGCUCUUGCGGCCGUUUCGUUAGUUUGCUAUAUACCAAAUUAGUGUGGCGUGACAAGAGUGUAUGACGAACAUAAGUGACAGGUCCUAACGUGCAAAUCAUGAAACGCAUGUCAUACACAGCAUGACAUACAUGCCACGCUCAUGGUGCGCUGGCGGCCGUUUCGCCAGCCUGAUAUAGACCAAAAUAUGUAUCUCGUGACGUAACUGUGUGACAAACAUAAAUAACAGGAAUUAACAUGAAAAUUAUGACACGCAUGUCAUGUACAGCAUGAUUUAUAUUUCACGCUCAUGGUGCGCCAGCGGCCGUUUCGCUAGAUUGUUAUACACCAAAAUUGGUAUCUCGCGACGUGACUGUGUCCCGAACCUAAAUAACAGGAGUUAACAUGAAAAUCAUGACACGCAUGUCAUGUACCGCACGACUUACCUGCCACGCUCAUGGUGCGCUGGCGGCCUUUUCGCUAGCUUGAUAUACACCAAAAUUGGUAUCUCGUGACGUGACUGUGUCACGAACCUAAAUAACAGGAGAUAACAUGAAAAUCAUGACACGCAUGUCAUGUGCAGCAUGAUUUACGUUCCACGUUCAUGGUGCGCUCGCGGCCGUUUCGCUAGCUUGAUAUACACCAAAAUUGGUAUCGCGCGACGUGACUGUGUGACGAACACAAAUAACAGGUGUAACAUGAAAAUCAUGACACGCAUGUCAUGCACAGCAUAACUUACGUGCCACGCUCAUGGUGCGCCGGCGGCCGUUUCGUUAGCUUGAUAUACACCAAAAUUGGUGUCACGCGACGUGACUGUGUGACGAACACAAAUAACAGAAGUUAACAUGACAAUCAUGACAGGCAUGUCAUGUACAGCAUGAUUUACAUGCCACGCUCAUGGUGGGCUCGCGGCCGUUUCUCUAUCUUGAUAGGCUAUAUACCAAAAUUGAUAUCGCGCGACGUGACUGUGUGACAGGUGGCAACAGGUGGCAACAUAAAAAUCAUGACACGCAUGUCAUGCACAGUAUGACUUACGUGCCAUGCUAAUGGUGCGCUGGCGGCCGUUGCGCUAGCUUGAUGUAUACCAAAAUUGUUAUUGCGCGACGUGACUGUUUCGAACACAAUAACAGGAGUUAACAUGAAAAUCAUAACGCGUAUGUCAUGUACAGCAUGACUUACGUGCCACGCUCAUGGUGCGCUGGCGGCCGUUUCGCUAGCUUGAUAUAGACCGAAAUUGGUAUUACGCGACGUCUGUGUGGUGAACAUAAAUAACAGGUGGUAACACUAAAAUCAUGACCUGCAUGUCAUGUAGGUAUGAUUUAGACGCCACGCUCAUGGUGCACUCGCGGCAAUUUUGUUAACUGGAUAUAUACCUAAAUUGGUAUGGCAUGACAGGAGUGCCGAACAUAAAUUGAAGGUCACGCAUCCUAUAUUGGCCUCGAGGCCCACCACUGGAAACGCCUGCGCCACCGUCGGCGUGACGUGCUUGGCAGGAUCACGUGGUCUCAGCGGCCGCGUCGGCUGCUUGUGGAGCGCUGCCGCGUGCUUUGAAAACGAGUUUCAAGUACCACAUGCGCUGCGGUCUGUUCAAAUACGGAAGUUUUCUCGCAUUUUCUGCUCAAUUGAAACCAUUUUAUUAGAGUUGCUGCCUCCGAAGGCGACAAACAUGGGGCUCUACCGCUCGGUGCCGUAGUGCCGGGCUUACGCAACGGAGCCCAGUGUCAGCAUGCACCGGUAACCGCGGGACAAGAAACUGCGUGAAGCAUGGGUUGCAAAGCUAAGAACCGGCAAGUAGCCAUCGGCUACGAGUCUUGUGUGCAACAAGCACUUCCUCGACGAAGACUUUCGUUACUGCGUCGGGCUUGCGAUGUUCGGUGAGUAGCAGACAGCGCGCACGAUGGCUCACGCGCGCUUCUCGCCGGCAAAUGAUGCUUAUCUGCCACAGGAUGGAAAAUGCGCUACCUUUUACCACGUGCGAUACCAUCUCAGAACCCUCCCGUGCGACCUCUUGAUCUCCGGCCCCGUGCUCAGCAUCCACAAAAUCGGCUGCAGAUGCGCAAGUCAUUGUUUAGAUACGUUGAAAUAAAAAACUCUUAUGUCCCUUAUGCAUUCGCCAUAGAUGACUAGAAGGCGAAAGCCAUCUUCUUCUUGUCAGUAGUUGUACUGACUCUCCCGCGCCCCCCUCCAAAAGCGUUCUGCACCUAACGCGAUUUUGCGCGGCCUCCGUGACCGAUCACGGAGGCAAUGCAAAGCGACCAUGACGUUGAAUAUGUCAUCAUGUGACGUCACGUCAUGUGACGUCAUAAAGACGCUACAUAUUUUGGCGAUCUGUGACGCCAUGAUGACGUCAUAUGAUAACGCCAUCACCGAUCACGGAGGCAAUGCAAAGGGACCAUGUCGUGUGAAUACGUCAUCAUGUGACAUCACGUUAUGUCACGUCAUGGUGAUGUCAUAAUGAAGUUACAAAUUUAUGAGGUCUGCGACGUCAUGAUGACGUCAUAUGUUGACCUCAUCACGUGACGAUUAUUUUUUGCGUCACUCGUCUUGACGCCGCGACGGUCAAUCUUCCCGUUUGAAGAGGCAUCUAGCUGCGCGACGUUUGCUAGUUGCUAGAUGACGUACAUAGCAAGAGAGUCAAAUGCUGCGGCUGUGUGCUGCAUUUAUGUUGGCAAUAACAUUUUUUCAGUCAAGCUUGCGUUCCCCUGAAGGAAACACCAUGUCCCAAAUUAAUUUUUGUCACUCUCAAACUGACGUUGGGCUUCUCCAACCCCAUCUAUUUUCUUGGUGCCUCAUUUAUUUACGUGGGAAAGAUGCCACCCUGUUGGCGCUAAACACGGCACUGCUGCCAAAAUUGCUGGGGUACUCGUCAAAUAUUUACUAUCUUGUUUUGCGGCUGCUGGUUGCUGCAAUAACUUCUAUUUUAUUCAUCGCUAUUUCAAGUUCACGUGGGUCCUAGUUCUCAGCCGACGUUUGCAGAACAAGUCCAGCGAACGUUACUGUAUUUUCUGUCUUUCCUUGACGUUGCAUGCUACUACCAUGCUCGGUCUCAUAGACUACUUCUCCUUCCACCAGCAAUCUCAAAGUGAUGAAGCUUUGGUCUAUGAAUUUGUUGAUGACAGAGAGCGGCAAGUUCGCUGGAAUGCAAAUGGAACGAUAAUUAAAGGGCCCCUGACAGCCGAUUUUUUGCUUGUGACAUUUAUGUUGUAAUAAGUAGGUCUAUGUCUUGUAAUCACGGAAUGACACCGUAAAUCCUCCAAUGUGAUGUCUAAUUAAUCCUAGCAGCGUUAAUUAUGGUCAUUUUUAGUGUAGGUUCAAAACGCGCGCCGAAAGAGGAUAAACUAGCGCCGCGCCGCGGCGGUCGCGCCUCGGGGCACGCUUGGUGACGUGCGCUCAGUAUUGGGUGACGUCAGCCACGCGCUUAUUGAGCUGCCAGUUGGAGAACACACACGCGGAGAGCUCACGCUGCCUGCCGACACGUACCGAAGAAGGAGAAGGUGGGAGGAGCAAAGAGCAAUUAUGCUUCGCAAUAUACCACUAUGGUGGCUAGAGCCACCAUAAUACCACAGUGCACAGUGUAUAUUUCUGUCUGUGACGUCGACAACACUUGCCUUACCUCUGCAACGUCACAAGGGGCCUACGUCUUCUUCAUACUAGUGGUUAUGUUGAUAAGAGUUCAAAAUUCAGAUGAGCACUCAGGCUCACUUUAAAACCAAAUUAAAUAUCUUAAAGGCAACGCUCGUCACUCAUAAUCGGUCAGAAGUGCCCCCGCAUGCAGGACUAUCAAACAACACAACCAUCUCGAGUUUCCAAAUUCAGUGUCAGGGGUCCUUUAAGGAUCAUUAAAAAAAAGGCGUCGCAUUUGCUCACGUUUUGUGUGAGCACCAAACGAAACGAAUGCACUGAAUAAAGAAACAGAAGCAGCGGCAUUUGCCCGCUGAGAAGGCCGAUCAAUACGCAGUGCGAGACAACUUGUCAAACGACAUUGAAUCGUACACAAAUUUAGACCGAAAAAAAAACUGAAUCGUCGGGACGGCACAUCACAAAGUUGCCAUGCGCACCGAAGACGUAGUUGUAACAAAAUUGUUUUUGAACUGGUCUGAUAGCGUCCGCGCAACGGUAGUUGUUUGUCUACUCACAACUUCUCAUAUUCCGCAGCAUAAAGUUCACAGCGCGGUGCCAAAACGUGCUCGCAGCAAAAGCGAAACCAUCAGUACGAGCAUACAUGCAGACGCUCAUACAUGCAGAGGCACCGUCAGUCGUCGCGAACCCGUGCGAUCGCUGGCUUGAGGCUUCGUUUGGUUAUACAGUUUGGUUUGGUUAUACUUGAGGCUUCGUUUGGUUAUGCUUCGUUUGGUUAUACAGGCAUUCUACUCUAACGAGAUAUUUCACAUAUUUUGCGCUCAGCGAGUGACUACCUUUCACGCAAGAAGCCGGUUCAGGGGUCUCCAACGGGGUGACCGCGUGAAGCGGGUGCUCAGUUUUCUGCAGAUAGACAGCGACUGUAGACUAUCCUGUGCUUUCUGUUCGUCGAAAAUUAUUCUUUUGACAGGAAAGAACAUUUUUCUUUUCGAAAGUACCUGCAGAAAUGUCCCGGAGGGCUUCCGCAGGGUAAUUUUGUAGAGCGCCGACAGCAAAACCUAUGGGACGCGCACCGGCGGCAUCCUGCCUAGCACGCAAUCGAGGCGCGUCCGAUAGAGGGCGACUCCGUAACUCCUCGCCGCCAAUAUGUAGCAGAAUAUAUGUUUCAUUAGCAUGGCAUAUACCAGAUUGUACACGCAUGCAUGUAUGACAAUCUCGCGAUAUAUGGCGAACUAGAUGCCACGACAUGAAUGACUUCUUUGCCUCAGUGACAAACAAGUUGAUGUAUGCACCUCUUUGCUGGCUGCUUCGCAUUACACCGAUUCCCACACUGCGUGGGAUCUGCCGAUUUCUUUAACAUUUCAAGUAACCGCACUCAUCGAGUUCAGAAUGCCCUCACGAUGAACAAUGCCAAACGCGGCAGCGUUACGAGUCGCGGGCGCCCCACAAGUUCCAAGAAACGAGCCCUUCUCCUCUCCGUGCCUUGCGGCAUUCCUCAUCCUCAGAGCAUUCGCUGCGACGUCAACAUGUCGUCUGCUCGUCAUCUACAACGCCUGUUUGUUUGCUCGAACGUAUGUGCGCUUGCUGCUCUUCUUGCUCAUAAUUGCUGCUGUUCUUCCUGCUAUUGUGUGAGAAAAGCGUAAAAUUUCACCAGGUAUCAAAUUAUAUGAGAUAUGCAGAACAUAUGAGUUAGGUGGUUUGAUGAUCUACCCAUAACAAAGCGAUCAGGCAUACUUAAUCAUCAUCAUCAGCAACAACAUCACCAAAGUGGGCAGAUGCGCAUGUGCGAGUGCUGCCUUACGGACGCGUAGUGCGUACAUUGCGAAUUGGUAAAAGGAACACUUAUGGCGUAGUGGGCAAUUCGCAACUGUACUUGCAGUAGACAUUCUAAGUAGUUUUAAAGGACCUAAGAUACCCGCAAAGACGUUCCUUUCCUUGCGGCAUGGCUGAGGUGUCCACUGACAAGUGAAGCCUCGCUAGCUAUUGACAAGGCUAUGCGAACGGGGCCCGAUUACGCAAUCGCGGUAUACUCUUGAAGGCGGUGCUCAAGAGUCUCGCAGUCUUUUUCUUCUGGUUUUUAUUGUCAUCUGUUUGUGUGCUUUUUACUAACGUCACUCCCGGGACAGAAAUGACAUCAGUGAUGUGUUCGUAGACCCUGGCAUAAAACACUUUCGUGCUAAAAGACAUGCUCAAGAAACAGUAGAGACAUGCUCAAAAACAGAAGUAACAGCAUCUCCUUGCACAAACCUACACCGUUUGAGACAUUAUACAGGAGUUUCGCUGUGACAAAAGGUUGACGGAGCAAAAGGUGGACGUUAAGUGUGUUAUACAGGAAGGCAUCUUGUGACGGUUCCUGAACACGUGCAUCUAUGUGGAGCUCAAUGUUGGGUUAUAGAAACACUGUUCUGAGUUACUGGGCGGCAGCCUUUAUCUGUAGAUUGACCCAUGCAUUCAAUGAAGCAGCAUGCUUACAUAACAAGCAGGGUAACUGAACCAUAAGAGACGGGGAACUCCUCAAAAGAUCUCUCAUUCAUUUUUUUUACAACACGAUCACCUCGCUUAAUUUCAGCUAUUCGUCACUGAUCUAUUACAGCAGAAAUGUUGAGGGCGGGGUUGGCCAUAUGUUGUAGAUAGAAAAUUAUCAUCAUCAUGAACCAGCACACGCCAUCUCUUUCCCCUUCUUCAUCGCCUCCCUCUUCUGUUUCGAUACCAGAAGACGUGCGCCGCUUUGUCCGGUGAGGAAUGCAAGAACUUCAUGGUCGGCAGAACAAGUACAAAUAGAGAAUUUCCUGGUGAAAGAAAUUGUUUGCCGAGCCUCAUUCGAACUUCGUGGGUAUUCGAACUCGCAUACCCACGAUCCGAAUGCGAGUGUCCUAAUCACUCGGUUAUCCAGGAACGCUGGCAGAGGAGAACAUAGCCCUGUAUUGUAUAGCACAGCAAGGUGGUGGGAAAUGGAAGUGAGGGUAAGGAGAAGAGAUAUGAAGGUAAGCAGGAGGUAAAGCAGGAUGAGAGAAAGAGUACAGAGAGAGCCAGAGAGAGAAAGAAAUAGAAAAAGAGAAAUAGAUAGAAAGGGAAUAAUCAGAGAAAAAGAGAAAAAGAUCGAAGGUGAGAGACCUAGGUGAGAGAAAGAGAAAGAAAUAAGGAAAAAAAAGAAACGGAGGAAACGAUAGAAGGAGAGAGACCGACACAGAGACAGAGAGAGAGGGAGAGAAACACAGAGAAAGAAACAGAAAUAAAGAGAGAGAGAGAGAGACAUAGAGAAACUCAGACAGAGAAGGAAACAGGAUGUGUCCAGAUAAGAUCGAACACGAGGUCAAGGUCACCAUUUUUGAUUUAAUGAAAUUUACUGUAGGCCUAGGCAUUAGACCCAGAACAAUGGUUUCGAAGCUAGUAUUGUGAAAAAAAAAUUGCUGACCUGAAAAAAAUAUACAGAUAAGUUUUGGCUGCAAGAAACUUUUCCGCCAAUUUUGCGAUUUCAGAAAUUUGAGCGCACCUAGGCAAAAAAACGAUGCACUUGUUGGUCACUAAAUUUGUUGCCCUCAGAGAACAAGUGAAAUACAACUUGACGAGUUAGUAAUUGUUCUUACCUGUAGAAGAGCAUUUGAAGAAAAAAAUCCCAAACAUGUCAAAUUGCACAAAAUAUCUGUAUUUCAGGAAUUUAUUGCUUCAAAAAAGUAAAACUGAGGAUAAUAAAAAUCGAUGCAUAUGAACUUUCAUAUUUUCGCUAUCUUUUAAAAUAAUUUCCAUGAUAUUAUCUCGCACCAUUUUAUUUCAUAAUUGUGCUCAAACUGAAGUGUUAUAUCGAAAACACCGAAGUUUGUAAUAUUUUUCUCAUAAAGGUCAUUCUUAAUUUUUUGAAAUCCCUCUGAUUCAAGUCAAGGACGUCAUCUACCAUUCUUCUAAAAAACAAAAAAAAAACAGAAAAACUUUGCAUUAUUUUGGUGGCUAAUAAGUCAACACGCGUCAUAAGUUGUUCAAAAUAAGCGUGCGCGAGAUAAUCACAAAGCAGCAGCUCCACAACAACAAAGGCGCAGCCAGGUGUCAUGAUUCAGCGAGCUUUGUCUUGCGAUCAGCAGCUUGACAAACCCGCAGCCGCGGCCGCUCUAAGCUGCAGGCGCUCCCAUUACAUGAGUGCCACUUCGACAGCGGACGAGCUCCGCAGGCACGCAAAUCUACGCUUAUAGGACGAAUGAAAUAAGGAAUGCAUCACUGUAAAUGGUAAAGGCUGUUAAGUGCAAAAAUGCCAUAUUAUGCAAUGAAAACUCUGCCGGCAAAUUUGCGGUGAGCGCCUCCAGUAGUGCGUUCAUGUGUUGCUUCCUCCCUCCUGGUCACCUAAAGAUAAUUAGGUUCACUCUAUCAGCAACACAUGACACAAAAGCAAGCCACUGACACCUAAAGAAAGCUGUCAUACAUGCUUACGAUGGUCGAACAAGUCAAAUUACAGUUAUUCGCAAUAUCUUGCCAGAACACUUCUGUCAGUCGGCUGUGAAGAAAAGCGUGUCUAAGUAAUUUGCUCUAUUAAAGCACCGCUUUUACAAUUCUGUAUUCUUGCGCGUCCGCAGAUACAACAUUCCACGCAAGCCGCACGUUUAUCACGAUAUUUUGCGGCGUCAGGCAUAAGAGCAGGGGAAAAAAUACAUGCGUGCUGUGCUGAAGGCGCUCACUGCAAUAUUGCCGAAGGAGUUUUUGUGGUAUAUUAUGGAUUUUGUUGGCACUUAACAGCCUUUAACUUUCACAGUGAUGUAUUCCUCAUCUCAUUCCGAAAUCGCUGUGUGGUUCGGCUUGCCUUUCUUCAAUUCCGGACAAGUGGCGACACCGUUCGUCGUCACAUGAACUUCCAAACUUUUCCCGCUGUGUCCAUACGGUGGCGCAAACAGUCAAGUGCACCUUUGGGCGCGCUGGAUGGCAAAAAUUUCCGUAACUUUUAUCGGGCAAAAGCUGAUGUGCCACUCUAGAGAAAGAAAGAAAGAAGAAAAAACAAAGAUAGAGAGAGAAAAAGGAAGAAAGAGAGAAAGAGACAGAGAAAGAAAGGAAUAUAAUGAAACAAAAAAAGAGAGACAGAAAAGGACAAGGAAAGAGUGAACAUAAGAGAAAGAAAUACUUUGUGGAAGACAUUGGGUUGGGAGAGCAGGAGGAAAAUGUUUAUGGCAUUGUUGAUACAGAUGCAGUCGGCGCCUACCAGUGUGAUGCCACCAGUGCCGCUGUUUAACCAGCCUUCGCGCCGUCAAAUCAGUGAAGCUACUUCGAUUUUCUGAAUCAAGUUUGAAAGAACUUUUCGUGUCACCGCCGCAUAUAAAAAUGUGUUUCGAAACUGUUUCGACUACUGUUUCAAGUGGCCUAACCACAUAUAAAAAUGUGGUGGUGUACAGUGUUUGGGUAUUUACUCUGCGUAUUAUGCUAGCUUUUUAGUUUUGAGCCUCACACAAACCCAGUAUUUCUUCAUUACAGCCGCUGUCGCGGCGGCUUUCGCGUUUUCGGUAUCGUUAUAAAAAAACUGUUGUCGCUGAAAUAAAGCGUGAUCAAGCAAAUGUCCUAUUAACUUCGCUAUAAACGAGAAUUCUCUGUGUUUGUUCAAAAGUGGGUAAUAUACUCGUAAGACUUAAUGGAAGAUAAAAGUACAGAUUACGAAUGAAACGUUUACACUGAUUUUAAACAUUACAUAGAGGGGAGAAGUGGGGAUGGCUGCGUCAUAUAAAUAUUUUCAAAAUGCUCAGAUGCUGCGCUAAUAAGACAAAAAAACUGAACUGUAAAGCGAGACGAAAUAAUGUCAAUGACAAUCCAACUGCGUAACUGAUGUUGAUCGCUAUUUAAACAUUUGGUCAGAGCCGUGCGUGCAACUUAAUGUCUCUGUAUGGCGGCCACCAUCAACAUAUUUUAGAGGCAGUAUUUUUUCCAGCGACGAUAGUAUGGCGUACCUUUCGAUGGAAUUACUGCUUUCUUAGAAAGUUCCGUUUUCGCAGUUUAUAUGUGUACCUAAAGAACAAUUGUAGCAGUUGCUGUUCAGUUAAACUGUAUUUUUUUGCGCUUCCGGCUCAGUUUUCUCUACCAGGUAAUAGCAGUGCAGGGUACUAUAGCAGUGCAGCGUACUAGAGCGCAAACAUUAGUAUGUGUGCUCAAUAUGCAAUACAAGCCGUACCGACAUUAUGGAUAAGACUGAAUAACACAUUAGCGAUGCAACACGUUAUGCUGAUUGGCGCUAGGGCCCAAAUAGUGGCCGGGUGUCGCUUCAUAUUUCCGCACGAAAUCUCAGCAGCCGGUUCAUUCAGGCGGUCCCUGGCGCAUCGAUAGAAUGUUCGUAUAUAAUCCUUUCAUUGACUAUGUAUCAGAGGUUCCGGUGCAUGGGACGCAAGAGUGACUCCUCGAAUGGAAGCAAUUUCGAUAUAGAAUUCGUCUCAUGGGAGUCAGGUGGAAGUCAUAAUAGGUGCCUCCUUUCUCGGUAUCCUGCGUGAAGAUCACGGUCGUGCUCUUAAAUAGGAGAUGUCUUUCACUACAUGCAUCCUCUCUCAUGCACACUCUCAAAGCAAAAAAGGAGGUCUGCGGAGCGUGGUUCGCAGAGAAGAGCUCUUCAAUACACUGUAUCUCUUUCAGCUACAGCUCUGCUAUUGUUCAAGGAGAUUUGGCUUGAGGAGGGCGUGUUGGACUGGCGGUGUACUUCAUCGUGGUGAUGAGUGACUUAUUGACGCAAUGAAACAGAAUAUUGAAUGUCAGCUUGAAGCGGAGUCUAUGUUAGUCUCUCAGGGCUACGUGUGCUGAAGAGCCAAAAGAAGGAGUGCCUAUAUUUGCAUCCGCCAAAGCAUACUUCAACUUGUUUCAGACGUGCAAAUAUAUUUCACCAGCGGAUGCCCCUGUGCCUAGAGAAUUCCAUGUUUUAUUGUGCUUGCCGAAAUCAGCGUCUAGCUUUGGAAAACUUCAGGUUUCACAAUAUUUAUUUUGGAAGACGGCACCUUUCCUUGUUUUUGAAUGACACGGGGACCUAAUUUAUCUUGGUUCUUUUCACCGAGCUGUGCCGAACGCAAGCUGAACUAUACGGCAGAAAACAUGAUUCCCGAAGUUUUUUCCAAAGAAAACGAAUGUAAAAUGGCUUUGGAUGACGCUAUACAUACACUGAAACGUGUUUUUAUUGCCGUCUCUUGCGUGCUAAAUCUUCCUUGAGGCUGGACGAAGCGGUAUACUUGCCGGAGUGCAGCGUUCUGUUCUGUCCCAGUAUUCGUUUAACAGCGUAGCUGUCUAAGCCGAGCGUCAGUCCGUAAUCUGUGAGCAGAAAUUGUCAUCACCAUGAACCUGCACGCGCUCUAUUCGUCAUCUUCUUCAUGUUCUUCUUCAACCCCAGCACACCUGCGCCGAUUUUAUUGGAGUGGUAUGCAAUAAUUCUGAUGGGCAUGAUAACGAGUACAGAUAGAUAGAAAAAAGAGCGACAGAGAGAGAGAGACAGAGAAAAUUUCCUGGCAAGGUGGGAUUCGAACCCGCGUACCCAUGACUCGAAGUCGAGCGUCUUAUAUCUGUGUCACACGGGCAGUUUUGAAAGGCCAUCCAGUCGAUGGCCAUCGAAACGCCACAACUCUAUCGGCUCGAUGGAGUUGUCGCACUCCUCGCGGCAGCUUUGAAUGGCUGUUGAAUGGUUCAGGCGUUUCUCGCAAAAAUUUUGUGUCGCUGCGGAUCACUAUUUUUCUAUUCAUGUCAACGAAAGUUAAGUCAUCAAUAUAUCUCUUGUUAUUGCUCAAACAUUUCAAUAAAAUAUUUAUUCGUAGUUAUGAAUACAUAUGGGUCAAUCCACGCCAACAGUUCCAGUCAUGGCGCUCGACAAUCUGCGAUUUGAAUGAAAAAAAAUCGAGGACUAUCUAUUCAAUACAAGAAGUCUUCCGCCAAAAUAUUUUUCGGCGAAAAAAGGUUUUGAGGGCCGCGAACUGCAUGCGAAAUUUUUCGGAAAGCUCGAAACUACGGCUAGUAAAACGCGUUUUCAAAAACUCUAUUCUUUCUAAAUUAGGCUAGGACAAAAUUUUUGCUACAGAACGAUCGUAGGCUUUUCACUUAAAAUAAGUUUUGCGAACGUUUACGCUUUCGUGGGUUUUUAUAUGCGGCCUUAAAUAUGGACAAUAUGAACCAUAUUGGGUAUUUUUUCAUAGAAAGACGACAUUGAAUGAAUUGCAUUAUUUCGUAAUAACUGAUCGCCAGGAAGCUUAACUGUAGCCAAAACAUAGUUUCAGACGUAUAUGGUUUGAAAUGGUGUGUACAGCUGACGACAAACUUGCAAAAAAGUUUACUUUUGCACAUGUUUAGUCAUAAAUUUAACAUUGAGGUGGUCCCGGUAAAAAUAGUGCUAUAUAGCGCAUUUACUACCAACAUUAGUUGUCUACUACUGAGAAAGUUUUAUCAAGUUAUUUUUCGUUUGAAGCAAGAAAGAUAUAUUUGAAUUUGUCUUCUGUCGGUGUCUGUUCUCGCUCGUGUUUUGUCCUCGCAGGAACGCGUCCAGCAUCAAGUACAACCUACAUGUGCGCGAGGUUCGCUACGGAACAGCUAGACAACAUUAUCAUAUUUGCCCGUGCCUAUUUUAACACAUUACUACGGAGUAUUGACCUGAGUCAACAAAAAAUGCGACCCCGCUAAAGUGAAUUUAACCACAUGCAGCUGUCCAUUGAAGGCCGGCAUAGUGUGCUUACGCAGCAGCGGGAAGUGACACCGAUGCGUGCAACGCUCCGUUGAUGUAGCGAAAACUAGGCGUUCAAAGCAAAAUGCUCUGCUGCGCAUGUUCUUUUCUGCAAGAUGAAAAUUAUCAAAGCACAAGAGCUUUCUGUCUUUUCCCUUUUCAUUGUAACAUAUUAGAUCAUGUGAACACUGUUUCGUUUUGAUGACCCGGUCAGUAACUGAGACGUUUGCAUGGAUCGUCUUUUAAUGCGAUCGUGUUAAAGAGUUCCUUUAGCAUAAAUUUCGGUGCCGGUGUCGGUGUCGGCUGUGGCGUCGUGAGUUGUGAUCAAAAAAUCAGCUUGGUCCGUGAGCGAAAAUUCAAGGUUGAUGCAAAUAAAGAAAAAAAUAAAAAAUUCACAGCAUAUCCACGGGUGAAUGAUGAAGAGCUUGGGCGAAGCUCCUGAAGCAAUCAUGGUUACACCGUGAAAUCUUCAGUGGUUUCGCCCAGCAUAAUCAAAGCGAGAGCCCAGUACACCAUCAAAGACGUGACAAACACUGUAUAUAUUUAUACAAUAAAUUUUAGUAAUCGUAAGUGGUACUAGACGUGGCUUCCGUUCCCCCUUCAUUAUAACGGCUUUAUGGUCGGUGAAGUGAUGGAUCGGUGAUGGAUCGUAGUGGGAUGUUUGCAAAGACGAAGUAGUGGGCAGCUUGCAAAGGAUCGGUGAUGGGCCGUAGUGGGAUGUUUGCAAAGAUGAAGUAGUCGCCAGUUUGCAAAAGGUGGUUACGCCGGACAACGGAGCCGUGACAUGGUUAGACUAAGAGGAGCUUCGACCCUAAAAAAAUAUUCAUUUUGAGUUGGACCGACGAUUCGAACCUGUGACCCACCGCUCCGUAGCGCGAUGCGUUUAGCCGCUCAGCAACCACGCAUACAUCCUCUAGCAUACCAACGGCGAGCUAUUCAUAUACACUACUUACGCACAUCUCGGAGGUUCUUCAUCGGCUUGACUGUCACCCGCGAGACAGCGCAAAGUGUCCACGGACGCGUUCUUACACGGCAUCACCCUGCCGUGUGUCCGUGUUUUGAAGCGCCGCAUGUUUGGAUAUAGAAGCCGGAUGGCGCCCGCACUAUGGCUUCACUUACUGCACGGUUUAGGCCUCGAACAUGUAGUGAAGCAAGGCUAGCGAGUGGGAAGGCGAACAAACACAGUCCUGUUACGCUAUCGCGUUCUGCUCUUGAAAACGAAGCUGAAGCGUACUCCAAGCAAUUUUUUCCGUGGCAGGCAAACAACGAUGUCCCUGUAGAUAAUUUCCACAUGGAUGUUUGAAGCGCAGAAAUUAACCGAACGGCUUGCUGCGAGUGGAAACUAUAUACCUGUUAUAGCUCAUUCGCUCGAGUCAUUGUCUACAUAUUUUGUUACUGAGGCGACUCCUUGGUCAUUAGACUAUCAACCAACAGAUUUUACAUCGUGCCACGCGCCAACAACGACGCCGAGCAGCAGUCACUCUUCGGCAUACAUUUCUUUAUGCAAUUAGCCUGCUUUUAUUGCAAUCGAAAACUGCGUCUACACCACUAUUUUCAUUUUGGAAGAUUCUUUGGUAUUUAGAGAAUGUAUUUUUAUGAUGACACUGCUUGUGGCAUUUUAGCCCGUGUCAACGCCUAAAGUCCGUGUCUCUUUCUCUAUACUAGCGUACAAUUUCGUGUGCUUGACAUUGACGUGUUCAUUAAAGCUCUUUAAAGACGGGUGGGACGUUUCCUCUCUUCUUGAGCAGCAUUGGAUGGCAGCCCUAAGACGCGGGGGAGGUUACUGCAUGCGCCCUCCGAGCAACAAAGAAGGGACGGCUCGUUUUAUCUCUGCUUCAGCCGCGUUCGUCACCCCAGAUUACGCGGUUUUACCUGAAUGUAGAAUAUACGAUGCGCCGGGGCAUGUUAUCAAUUUGGGCUUUAUACAGAACAUGACGGUGACGGCGACGUCGAAACAGGUCGAGGGUGUCCAUACAAUUGCAAUCGCAGUCAAAAUGUUUGUCGUUCAGUUAAUUCUGAAGGUGGCACUUUCCGUUAUGUUUCGAUGGUGUAGACUAAUUUUAAGGUUCUCAACAAGGGCACUUUUGUGAAUUUGAUAAUCCGUGGCCACAUGUGCUCGGAUGAGCCCCGAGUUUACGAGCAGAGAACUGAGCACUGUCUUUGAAGCUUGCGUUGCUCAUACAAUGAACCAUUUUAGAUGCGAAGCAGCUUAUGGCGGAGUUGAAUUCGGUGGUGUGCGGCGUGACCACCCUUACUGCGCAUGCCCAAACCCUCUCCACACACCUCUCCACUCCCCCUCCUCAUUUAGAUAAAAGGCUCGUGUUAGGUCGUACACACGCUCAGUCACUGUCCCAGCUGCGCCGGUGUCAUGAGUUCCAACGUCAACGUCGGUGCCAGUUGCAAUAAUACCUUAACGCCGGCCGAGAUCGCAGAGCAGCGAUUGGAGCAGCGGAAGGCUCGACGCGCUGAAGCGCAACGUAAACGUCGGCAAGCGGACCCCGAGCUCCGGGCUAGGGAAGCCCAGCGCAAACGGCAACGUCGGCGGGAAACUGCGACGGAUGAAACGCGACCUCGACAUGCAGAAACGCUGCUUCGCAUCGCCUCAUGGUCCCCUUUAGCGGGAGAUGGUGUAAUUUUUUUCUAAUGUGCGGUUUAAAAAAUUAAACCGGGCAAUGAUGUGGAUACGAGGGGGUGAAUAUUCGUUUGCAUGAAAAGUGGUAAUGCUACACGCUAUUCUGAAACUGUUUAACGUACGCGUCAUUAGAUUGGGUCCGCUUCAUUUAUUUUCCCAUUGGAAAAGCGCAUCGCUUAUUGGUGAUCUGGCGCGGUUUUGUUUUUUCUUGCCAUUCGUUUAAUGCACCCACCAUUCCACUCCUCUUGUUUACUUACGCUGACCUAAAUUACUCAAGCACUACAUGCGGGGCAUUCACCUGCAGGUGACUACUGCACUGUGCAAUGCAAGCGCUUUUAUACCUACACUCGCUAGAGAAAGUAUGGCUGACAAGAGAGCACGGUGACCGCAGAAAAAGGGCAUCGCUUAUCUCUCUCCUUUCUCUUUUACAGGGUAUCAUGUAUUAGCUAUUGCUAUAGGGAACCCAAGCUCAAGUUUGGGCGCGACGCUCGCGCUGCUGAGCUAUGCGUUACUGGGGGCAGACGCUGCCCGCGAACGCGGUUUGUCGCCGGAUUUGCCAGCGGCGGCGGCACGGACACGUGCACGCAUGCGUUCCUGAUUCAGCCUAGAGCACUGCUAUCAGCAAUGGGUACAAUCAAGUUACAUUGCGAAGCACUACAUAUGAAAUCCGAGAGCUCUGCGCGUGCGCGGGACCGGGGGUGGCAGUGUUGUGGCCGUGGAUGCGGUAAGAGCAGUGGCGCCGCUCGACGUUGCUUUGGAAGCCAAUAGUGGCAGAACAUCCGGAUAUGUUUUCUUGACAACUAGGUCAACCAUCCAUACCCGUGCAACAGUCACCGCAAGAUCGUUUGCAAAUAAUAGUCACACACAAAAGAGACACAAUUUCAAGGCAAGAGAAUAUAAUCUAGAGACGGGAGGCAACCGACGCCAUGUAUAUUGCUUUUAUUGGCAAACGAAGAACGGUCUACCUAUCCAAACGUUUGCCAUCGGCCAGCCUACAUAUACGUACAACUUUUAUCCCACUUUAAAACAGGUCAAUUUUAUAUUUCGAUGUUAAUUCGUCCAUUCGGGAAGACACAAGAGGAAUGGAAGAAACGCAAGGAAAUUCCUACCAAAACUGAAGGUUUAAAGAACUUUAACAGGCUUCGACUUCCUCAAGGAAGCUUUUUUCACCUACAAGUGGGCUCGAGAAAGUGAGCUGUUUUAUUACGUGGCGGAGGCACCUUGCGUACGCAACUGGGAAACGAGAUGUUUGCGCGAACACUAGCUUUUCUUAUUUGAAUUCCGUUGGCCUUCUCAUAAUCAACUUAACGAGUGGAAACUGUGUCGUGCUCUUAAGAAUUGUGGAAGAGAACGUUGUUCUUUCUUGUGUUAUAAAGCCGUCGUUCCAAAUUGCUGCUCUAGCCAAUAUAGUCACAAUCUGCGCCGGCGUUUCCGCAAACUCUAAACUUGUGCCCAGCAGGACAGGUAGCACUCACAAUACAGUGAAAGCGGACAGCACGGUCAUCGGCCACCGAAAAUGUGCCACCUCGGGAAAAACGCUUCUGCUUUCCACAUGCGUCACCCUACAGUACAACGUCAUCGCUGCUGCUCGCAUAUGUUAUGGAAUGUGUUCAACUUUUCGAGACGAGCGUGCAAUCUGAGUAAGUCGAUCGAACUCACCUGUGAAGGCUUUGAUACAUUAAGGCGUGGCUUCUGUGCAGAGAGACAACUCGCUUACCACUUUCAUCCGAUGAAACCCGGCCACAGCCAAAAGGAAAAACAAGUAGUACGCGUGCGAAUACGGUAGACACCCGUCGGGCGCUACGGGUAUGGUGCCAGGAGUGCGAAGUUCGCUUCACUUAUCUAUCCGGAACACUUGCGUUUCUUUCAGCACAGCGGAAGCUCGCCGACAAAUUAAGUAGUCUAAUUCUUUAUUUAAGAAUAAUAUCUGGGGUUUAACGUCCCAAAACCACGAUAUGAUUAUGAGAGACGCCGUAGUGGAGGGCUCCGGAAAUUUCGACCACCUGGGGUUCUUUAACGUGCACCUAAAUCUAAGUACUAGUCUAAUUCUUUGACUAAAUAUUUAGACCCAAUAAGAACUAGACUGGCCGUUAAUUAGUCUUUUCAAGGCAACUUUAGCUUCAGCGAGGUAUUUACGUCGUAAUGUCAUAGAACCUUCGUCAAGACUCCGUGGCAUUAACGCAUCCGCCGACUUUGUGUACAAAGUCUACGGAUGCCUUAUUAUCACAGAAUCUUGAUAACAUAUCUGGACUUUUUAAUUAACACCCUGUAUAACUAAACAGGGUAAUUCUUUAGGCUAGGUGGUGCGAAAUUAUCACGGCUUACGCUGUGUAAGGCAUUUACACCUCGACGCAGGCUUCGGCUAUGAUGUCUACGGAUGCCUUAACGUAAUAGUAUUUUAACAAGAGAUCUGUAUUGUUUUUAAGACGCCCUGUAUAAAUAAACAGCUGUUUAAACCUUUAGGCCUAUGACCACAACAGACGCAAUAUAGAAAUGAAAGAGCACCUGAAGCCAUUGUUUUCCAGUGGAAAUGAACAGACCGGUGAUGACGGAUGGACAAUGAAAAUUUUGAACGUAAUUAUGAAGAACACGACGCCGCGGGGCUUGCAAAAUGGCUUCGAAUCGCACAGUACUCUAUGCCAGCAGUGUGCUAAUCACAUGAUAAAGUAAUUUGAUUCAGCUCUCUUUUAUACAUCUCGUGGAUUGCUUGCGAGUGACUCGGACCAUGCUAGACUAUUUGAACAUUUACGAAGGAACCACGAGGAACUCCUUAGUUAUUCACAAGUUUUCGUAACUCUCCAGCUGUUUCAGAAGUGGUGUAAGCGGAUACAGGUUUGUUUCCUGGUGGGAGCUACAACUUAAGUGAGCGGAACGAUGACUGGGUUCAGCAACACAAAGCGAGACCGCCGCAACACUUGCGGAGUCGUUUAAUAAUCGAUAAACUUGACCUUCACGUAAGAAGAUGUGCGUAGAGAUCUCUUCGUAGCUUCGAGAAGAACGGUAAGUAAGAUAAAUGAGUUGGAUGUAGACGGGCUUCGAGAUAGGAGCGAAUGAUGUAAGUAUUUCUAGGUUGUCAUAAGUUUAAAAAAAUAAGAUGCAGCCAGUAAAAGGACCAGAAGACCUUUUUUGACGUAAACCUCAAAAAUACCACUCUGGACUAAAUCGGUUACGUAGGAGAGCUGAAAAGAACCGUCUAGUCAACCAUACUUCUUAAUUCAAGGCAGCCUUUGAAGCAGCGUCUGACGGAUACAAUUGGAGGACCCGAACAACGGCACGAAAUGCGAAUAAGUUGCAAUGAAAUGCGUGAGUAAGUUGCAGCGUGGGGCCCGGGUUAUCAAAAUAUUAUCAGACGCGUGGAGAUGUCUUUGCGAAUCCAUGAAAAACUUCUUGAAGUCAAUCGGUUUUAACUGACGUGGGUGAAAUAUUCUGGAUGCUAAGCGCCACGGAAAAAAAUGCUCAAGAACACGCAACGACAGAUCGAGCGAGUUCGGGUAGUCGAAAAUCGUAGCGAACUGGCAUAAGGACCAUUAAUUAGUUCAUUAUAUACGAUAUUCGUUGUAACAGUAGACAUAGAAAUCGACUCUAACAAAUCAGAAUCUUCUUCUUGCGCCCAAUAUGGGGCACGGAGUACUCGGGGGAGCGUUGCACUUGCUCUAAAGUUAAUCUUCGUGCGGCCAUUGUUCAUAGCUCUGAAUAUAUGCAGCGUUGUUUGAAAGAAAAAGCUUUCGCCUUCCUUGCCAUGUCGUGCGCUGGUUGUUGCCCUUGCAUUUCCUGAACGCUGAACAAGUGGCGCCACCCUUCGACGUUUGGAUGAGCUUCGAAGAUUUUCCCAUUCUGUCCACAGGGUGGCGCAACCAGUCGAAUGCGCCUUUCUUCGCGUUGGAUGACCAAAAUUACCGCAGCUUUUUAGGCGACAUUUCUCACGAAAUUUCUUGUGUCUCAACCACACUGAAAAAGUGGUUGACAAUAGCAGUUUUUGUUUAUAUUGCUUUUUAUGUACCUUUUGACACUCAAGGCGUGCUCAAACCGAACAUUUGUUCGUUACAGCCGAAAUAGCAGCGGCUCCCGCGUUUCCGGUUGCGUUAAAAAAAUAGAUGCAACUAAAGUGAAGCGUGAACAACCAAGUUUUGUAUUUAGUUCGCUAUAAUUGAUAUUUCGCUAUAUCAGUGUUUCUUAUCAAGAGGUUCAUCGUACUGGUAAUAUUUAGGAAAGUAGAAGAAUUGUCCGAGGGCCUCAUUUUUCGUAUUAUAUACAACUAAUGAAACCGGCAGACAAUUAAGCCAAUAAAUGCAUAGGGACAUUAUUUGUGGUUCCUCAACUAUAUUCUAGUGAUUCUCGCUUAGAUUAAAAGACAUCAAAGUAGACGAAAAAUCCCCUUUUGCGUCGGUGGGAUCCGAACCCACCACCUUCCAUUUAUCAAGAGCAGCCUGCGCACGCGGGGAUGUUGCGGAUGCCGAACCAAAACUCUCACUUAACGAGUUGACACCGUUAUGCGCGUUGCUGUACAAGCUCCCAUAAAGUGAGCCAUGCAAACAAUUAUCAAGCGUCAUUGUUUGCUGAUCGCACGAUGUGUCUGCACUGCUGAAGGUGCUAGAUGUCGCUUUGAGAUGCGAUUUAGUCUACUUCACUAUGACAUCUCCAUAGACAUUGAGUGUGCAGCAUGCUUCCGCACGUGGGAACGUGAAAAAAAAUAUAUAUGUAGAAAAGACUUAGACGCGCUAUAUAUAACUGUGUUUGUUUGCUUAAGGACGGUAUUUUAGGAUGCAGAUAUAGUACGAUGUUUCCGGCGCGAACGCGGUAGUCACUUAAGUUGGACACGGUUCGCCGUUAAGGUGAAAAGCUCGAGACUUUCGACAGCGCGCGUUGUUGCGGCCGCCGUCGUGCACUCUUUUCCCAGGUUUGUGUUUGCUACAGCUGCGAUGACGUUUGACGUUACAACAGAUUCGCGUGAGUGUACGUGACUAUGGGAGCUAUGCGCGGUAAUUCUCGCACAUGAUAUGUCUGACCUCGAUGUAGAGGGCGUCCGCACGCGCUGGGUGUCGUUUGGGCACUCGUACUCGCAUGUGUUUAACUGAGCAUUUAAGGCUGGGUUACGUUUGUAAAACACGCGGUCAGUAACCGCAUAGGACGUACCCCUGACUGCCGAAGGACGCGCUUGGGCGUCGGAAUAUGCCGGCGGAAGGCCGGGUUUAACCUGAAAGGAAUUUUUGAAGCGAUUUCUCAGAAAAGGAGCGUUUUCAUUGCAAAACGAAGCUCCCGCCUUCUUUUAGGUGAAAACUUGUUUUCGUUACGAAAUUAUUUAAAACGAAACACACGUGUCAGAUGUGUGUACGGUAAAUGUGUGUUGGUCAAAGGGUGGUUUUAAAUACAACUAAUCAGUGUGUGUGCGUUGGUUAUUCCCAGAAUACCGGAUCGCUUCUCCAACCUCUUCACUCGAGUUGACAGACACACUCGGGAAAACGAAGGUGUCGCAAUGGUCUGGCGCCUCACCACUUGUGACGUGAAAAUCAACAGCGGCGUUCGCCCUGUCAACGAGGCCAUCGGUCCUACAUUUCCUUUGGUGGGACAACAUGACGUAGGAAAAGAGGUACAAUUUUUCAAGGCUGUUCACGCUGAACAGGAUCGACAACAUAACAAAAAACAAGUCUAAUGCCUCCAGCCGUCACCACUUCUUGAUUUAUUCAUAC